rnacentral:rRNA from 1 species
UACAGAGGGCGCGAGCGUUGUCCGGAAUCACUGGGCGUAAAGGGCGCGUAGGUGGCCACUAUAAGGCUGCGGUGAAAGUUCGGGGCUCAACCCCGAAUCUGCCGCGGCGACUGUAGGGCUUGGGCACCGUAGAGGCAGAUGGAAUUCCGGGUGUAGCGGUGGAAUGCGUAGAGAUCCGGAGGAAUACCGGUGGCGAAGGCGGCAUCCUGGACCGACAUGACGCUGAGGAGCGAAAGCUAGGGGAGCGAACGGG